ensembl:snRNA U6 U6 spliceosomal RNA
GUGCUUGAUUUGGCAGCACAUAUACUGAAAUUGGAAAAAUACUGAGAAGAUUAGCAUGGCACCUGUGCAGGGAUGACACACAUAUUCAUGAAGCAUUACCUAUUUUU